rnacentral:rRNA from 1 species
GAUGAACGCUGGCGGCGUGCCUAAUACAUGCAAGUCGAGCGAACAGACGAGGAGCUUGCUCCUCUGACGUUAGCGGCGGACGGGUGAGUAACACGUGGAUAACCUACCUAUAAGACUGGGAUAACUUCGGGAAACCGGAGCUAAUACCGGAUAAUAUAUUGAACCGCAUGGUUCAAUAGUGAAAGACGGUUUUGCUGUCACUUCUAGCUGGAUCCGCGCCGCAUUAGCUAGUUGGUAAGGUAACGGCUUACCAAGGCAACGAUGCGUAGCCGACCUGAGAGGGUGAUCGGCCACACUGGAACUGAGACACGGUCCAGACUCCUACGGGAGGCAGCAGUAGGGAAUCUUCCGCAAUGGGCGAAAGCCUGACGGAGCAACGCCGCGUGAGUGAUGAAGGUCUUGGGAUCGUAAAACUCUGUUAUUAGGGAAGAACAAAUGUGUAAGUAACUAUGCACGUCUUGACGGUACCUAAUCAGAAAGCCACGGCUAACUACGUG